UUUUUGGCUGCAAUUUUCAUGCAAAUCUAUCGAGAGCUAUCCAAAGCUGCAAAGAGAAAGGUGUUGUCUAGUACAACGACUCGCGAAAUCAGUAUGCAACGCAUGCUGGACAGUGUCUGUUGAUGAUUGGCCAGGCCAGGCUGAUUGGUUAUGCAUUUAGGCAAUGAUGUAUACACACACACACA